AAAACGACUCUCGGCAACGGAUAUCUCGGCUCUCGCAUCGAUNAAGAACGUAGCGAAAUGCGAUACUUGGUGUGAAUUGCAGAAUCCCGUGAACCAUCGAGUCUUUGAACGCAAGUUGCGCCCGAAGCCAUUNGGCCGAGGGCACGUCUGCCUGGGCGUCACGC
rnacentral:rRNA from 1 species